rnacentral:rRNA from 1 species
GACGAACGCUGGCGGCGUGCUUAACACAUGCCAGUCGAACGGAAAGGCCCUGCUUUUGUGGGGUGCUCGAGUGGCGAACGGGUGAGUAACACGUGAGUAACCUGCCCUUGACUUUGGGAUAACUUCAGGAAACUGGGGCUAAUACCGGAUAGGAGCUCCUGCUGCAUGGUGGGGGUUGGAAAGUUUCGGCGGUUGGGGAUGGACUCGCGGCUUAUCAGCUUGUUGGUGGGGUAGUGGCUUACCAAGGCUUUGACGGGUAGCCGGCCUGAGAGGGUGACCGGCCACAUUGGGACUGAGAUACGGCCCAGAAUCCUACGGGAGGCAGCAGUGGGGAAUAUUGCACAAUGGGCGGAAGCCUGAGGCAGCAACGACGCGUGCGGGAUGACGGCCUUCGGGGUGUAAACCGCUUUCGCCUGUGACGAAGCGUGAGUGACGGUAAUGGGUAAAGAAGCACCGGCUAACUACGUG